ACGCUGGCGGCAGGCCUAACACAUGCAAGUCGAGCGGUAGAGAGAAGCUUGCUUCUCUUGAGAGCGGCGGACGGGUGAGUAAUGCCUAGGAAUCUGCCUGGUAGUGGGGGAUAACGUUCGGAAACGGACGCUAAUACCGCAUACGUCCUACGGGAGAAAGCAGGGGACCUUCGGGCCCUUGCGCUAUCAGAUGAGCCUAGGUCGGAUUAGCUAGUUGGUGGGGUAAUGGCUCACCAAGGCGACGAUCCGUAACUGGUCUGAGAGGAUGAUCAGUCACACUGGAACUGAGACACGGUCCAGACUCCUACGGGAGGCAGCAGUGGGGAAUAUUGGACAAUGGGCGAAAGCCUGAUCCAGCCAUGCCGCGUGUGUGAAGAAGGUCUUCGGAUUGUAAAGCACUUUAAGUUGGGAGGAAGGGCAGUUGCCUAAUACGUAACUGUUUUGACGUUACCGACAGAAUAAGCACCGGCUAACUCUGUGCCAGCAGCCGCGGUAAUACAGAGGGUGCAAGCGUUAAUCGGAAUUACUGGGCGUAAAGCGCGCGUAGGUGGUUUGUUAAGUUGGAUGUGAAAUCCCCGGGCUCAACCUGGGAACUGCAUUCAAAACUGACUGACUAGAGUAUGGUAGAGGGUGGUGGAAUUUCCUGUGUAGCGGUGAAAUGCGUAGAUAUAGGAAGGAACACCAGUGGCGAAGGCGACCACCUGGACUGAUACUGACACUGAGGUGCGAAAGCGUGGGGAGCAAAC
rnacentral:rRNA from 1 species